CGCUUUGUGCAGUGGCCGGGUCGUAGCCGAUGAGGUUUAUCCGAGGCACGAUGAUUGCUGAUGGAGAACUUUUCCCGUGC